rnacentral:tRNA from 1 species
GGGACUAUAAUUUAAGUAAAAAUAUAUGAUUUGCACUCAUAAAAUUGUUAGUUCUA